GGGCGCAGAGCUGGAGUGCGGAGCUGGCUCAGCCAGGCUGUGGAGAGGGAAAUUCCCAGUAAUCUGCAUCAGCUAAACCUGCCCCAAGAACUUGCUGCAACACUUCCAAGCUUUUCCAGCUCCAAGAGAGCCCACAGCAGCUUUCCCAGCCCUAAGUGCUUAGUUCCUGGUGGUGAUCAAAGAGGGUCUUGCAGGAGCGUUUUGGCGUCAGUGGAUUUCACUCUCAGCCAGACCAACUCUGCCCUUCUGUAAGUUCAGUUUCAGGUCCCUGUGACCUCUGCCUUGGGGCUGCCCUGGACCAGAGGGUGCAGACCAAUAGCAAUUUGCAGUCAGCCAGGGCAGUAACCUGAGCUGGCUCCAGGUGAAUCCCAUCCCAUAAACAUCACCCUCAGCAUAAAGGGGGAGCUCCAGGAUAGGAGCUCCUCCUGCUUGGGCUCUUCCUAACCCUGCUCCUCUUGCCUCUCCUGAGAAAGUUUCCCUGUUCAGUGUGUCUGCGUGAGGAUAACUUCGUUCUGGGCUCUGAUGUGCACUCGUCUGGAGCACUCCUGUGCCCUCCUGUUCUGCCCUUCCUCGUGUCAGGAUAAUGUAGCAACAAGUAAAGGCUUGGAGGAGGAUGCUGAAGGCACCCACCCGUGCCAGGAGCAGUGCUUGGGAUGGACUCUGCAGCCUCGGGAGGGACGUCAGAGGUGUCAAGCACUGUGAAGCGGUGCCUCGGUGGGAGCAGGAGGAGCCUGCCCACAGGGCUGACAGGUGGAGCCUCAGCAGUGUGUGCCUUUGGGCUGUGAGGAUGGGCAUUGUCCCUGGGAAGGGGGGACAGGGCACUCUGAGUGCCUUUGGGAUGUCAGAAGCAGGAACAGGCAGGGUCACUGGCACUGAUGUGGACAAAUGUGGCUGGCUCCUAGUGCUGGACUGCAGAAUGCAAUUCGGGGUCACUAAGCACAACUGUAUCUUUGGAGAAUCUGAUUAAGUGCUGCUUGCUGAAGGUCAGGCAGAAGGAGUGAUUACCAGAACCAUUUCUCAGUGGCUUUCCCCAGCAGCUGCCAUUUCGGAGGGGACAGCUCCUGUGCAGAUGUGAGUUUGUCUCAUCAGGAAACUGCAUUAGGAGAACAAACAGGAAAAUGCUGAGAUCUGACAACUCACCUGGUAAACCUUCUGCUGCAAUGCUUCUGCAGGUCCUGAGGAGCUGAGAGCAUCUCCUGGCCUGGGGACCCAGCCCUAGGGCACGACAAGAGAGCUCCUGCAGCCACUCUUUGCUCUUCCAGGGGAUGCUGCUUGCAGACUCUUUGGCUGCUUUCUAAGGAGCCUCUCAGGGCAGAGGCUUUGGCUGAGCUGCAGAACACUGAAGGAGUGAGGCACAGCCUGGUGGGGCUUGGUUACUGCCACGGGAAGCCUGGGCCGAGCCAGGUGGUGCAAAGUGGAGGUACUGAGUGCUCUUGAGAAGAGCAAACAGGGCAAGGACUGGCAGCACCUGAGGCUAAUCACAGUUGCUUUGGAGAGCGUUCAGACACGAGGUCCUCCCCAGGGGUAACGCUGAAGGGCACAAAGGGCAGUGCUGGGUGGGUCAGUUAGAGCUGCUGCUUGAUCUCCAGAUCGCUGUCGAAGGUUGCCUCUCCCAGGGUGUGUGACAGCAAUAUCGAUCUGCUGUUCAGCAGGCUGGGAGUGUUCUGGGGAGCAGCUUUGGCAGGUGAACUGCAAAGCUGGGAUCAAUACUGGAAGCUACAGCUCAGUUUAUAGCAAUUUGUUAUUAUUUCCCUCAGCUGGCUCUGCUGCAGCCAGGGAAAUCACCUCCAGCUCUGCUGUGGCAGGUGGCAGCGGGGAGGAGUGUUUGUGGCAGGCAAAACUGAAGGGUGCUAUGGCUUGGUGGGCUGCAGGGAGAAACAGCUGCAACUGAAAUGGGAGCUCAGCUCAGCAGCAUCAGAACAAGCAGAGGUUACUCAGGACACCUUCACCCGGUAACAUUUCCCAGCAGAGACAAAUGUUCAGGGCAGGACCUGAACCUGCUGUGGUCUGCCUGAGUGGAGAAGGAUUUGCAGAGCUUCAUUUCAGGCACUGCUUGUUUAAAAGAUUUAUGAAAGCUCUUCACACCUCAGCAAACUCUCCAGGCUGUGGCUUUCAGUCACUUCCUCCUUGACAAGUGGCAGAAGGGGAAAGUGCAGUGCAGGUAUUGGGCAUUUACUCUUCGUUUCCUUAUUUCUGCAACCAGAGCAAGGGCUGUUGGCUUUGUUAAGGUCUGGAAGGGAAAAAGCCCUGGCAGUGCCACGGGGGCAGCAGAGGGGUGUGAGGUGUCUGUGGAAGCAUCUGGAGAGGCAGUGCUAAGAGCUCACAGCUCUGCUGACACCUGGGUUAUGGCACAGUUCUCCUUUGCUGCUACCUUGGUCUCCUCCCUUUCAGCAGCCCUUAGCUCUGCCCAGACACGAUGUCAGCACUGAACACAUGGGCUCUGGCAGCACAGCUGCAGGGUGGGAAACGAAGGCUAAACAUCUGCCCAGCAGGGUGAAGGUCCUCCUGUCCCCACCUCUUCCACAGCACUCUCCCCAGUUCCAAAGGCUGGGAAGGAUCCAGCCAAGGUCUGCCAACACUUUCAAGGCACCAAAGGCAGGUGCAGCCAGGCAGAGGCACCCAGUCUGCACCUCACCCAGAAUCACUGCAGAGUCACAGGGCUCUGACCAAAACCCAGAGCCAGCUGGAUCCUCUCUGUUCCCACUUCUUGUUUCUAUGCUAAAGAAAGGAAUUCCCCAUCUACAGAACUCUGAACAGUGGAAUCUGUCACAGCCACAUCUAAGGGGGCUUAAAAAGUCUUCUUUCCCCCCAGCUAUUCUCUUGAUUUAUGGGCUCAUAGCAAUCACACCAUGGGGCUGCUCUUUGGGGGCUGUGACUCUGGGUAAACACCCACCCUCUGCUGCUGCUGCCUGGGCAGGGCUGUGCUACAGGGCACUUUCAAGUGAGAUCUAGGGAAAAUGGAGCAACAAAGAGUUCCUUCUGCUGGGCCUUUGGACUGAAGAGGUUGUUACACACACAUCUAUCAAACAGUAGUCAGGGCAGUGCCGGAGCUGCAGUCAGACCAGGAUCAGACAGCUCCCCUCGGCUCAGCUCUGGGUAAGAAGUGAUACCUGUGUCACAGAUCUGCAGUCAGGAUCUGGCCAAGACAAACAGGCACACUGUGGGGCUGCUGGGGAGGGAGAAGCAGCUGGGCAGAGGCUUGCUGGCUGCUGUUUGAGGUGUGAGAGAGGAAGGAGCUGAGAGCAUGAGAUGGGAAAGAAAGAAAAUCCCCAAAGCACAGCAGGCAUUUGGGAGAUGCUCAGAGAGUGAGCGUAGAGAGGUGGCUG